rnacentral:rRNA from 1 species
UGGGGAAUAUUGGACAAUGGGGGAAACCCUGAUCCAGCAAUGCCGCGUGGGUGAUGAAGGCCUUCGGGUUGUAAAGCCCUUUUGGCGGGGACGAUGAUGACGGUACCCGCAGAAGAAGCCCCGGCUAACUUCGUGCCAGCAGCCGCGGUAAUACGAAGGGGGCUAGCGUUGUUCGGAAUUACUGGGCGUAAAGGGCGCGUAGGCGGCCUCGUCCGUCCGGCGUGAAAUGCCUGGGCUCAACCUAGGAAUUGCGCUCGAUACAGCGAGGCUAGAGUGUGGGAGAGGUUGGUGGAAUUCCCAGUGUAGAGGUGAAAUUCGUAGAUAUUGGGAAGAACACCGGUGGCGAAGGCGGCCAACUGGACCACAACUGACGCUGAGGCGCGAAAGCGUGGGGAGCAAACAGGAUUAGAUACCCCCGUAGUCC